rnacentral:rRNA from 1 species
AGUGAACGCUGGCGGUAGGCCUAACACAUGCAAGUCGAACGGCAGCACAGUAAGAGCUUGCUCUUACGGGUGGCGAGUGGCGGACGGGUGAGGAAUACAUCGGAAUCUACUUUUUCGUGGGGGAUAACGUAGGGAAACUUACGCUAAUACCGCAUACGACCUACGGGUGAAAGCAGGGGAUCUUCGGACCUUGCGCGAUUGAAUGAGCCGAUGUCGGAUUAGCUAGUUGGCGGGGUAAAGGCCCACCAAGGCGACGAUCCGUAGCUGGUCUGAAAGGAUGAUCAGCCACACUGGAACUGAGACACGGUCCAAACUCCUACGGGAGGCAGCAGUGGGGAAUGUUGGACAAUGGGCGCAAGCCUGGUCCAGCCAUACCGCGUGGGUGAAAAAGGCCUUCGGGUUGUGAAGCCCUUUUGUUGGGAAAGAAAAGCAGCAGGUUAAUACCCCGCUGUUCUGACGGUACCCAAAGAAUAAGCACCGGCUAACUUCGUG